ACCAGGGGCACCGCUGGAUAGCCACGUUCGGACAGGAUAACCGCUGAAAGCAUCUAAGCGGGAAACCCCCUCCAAGACCAGGCUUCUCACCCAUUCAAGUGGGAUAAGGCCCCCCGCAGACCACGGGAUCGAUAGACCAGACCUACAAGACCAGCAAUGGUCGCAGGGAACUGGCACUAACCGGCCGAAAACUUACAA
rnacentral:rRNA from 1 species